ensembl:ncRNA lncRNA:CR44700 long non-coding RNA:CR44700
UCAUUGUAGUUUGCUGGUGCGUAGGGGUUGGGACCUCGCUUGGGGUUGAUUUUAACCCGCAGCAUUUCCAGCUUCGAUGGCUAAUGGGACUCGCCUGCAUUGUGCCCCUCGCUUGUGCCUGCCACACGCAUUCUUGACCCAAAAAUCCGAGAGAGCGAAAAAGGGGCAGCUGCAGCUGCACCAGCAACUCCUUGGCCAAAGACCGAAGAUCAAGGCUCCCAGCAGUGGCGUGUCAAAUGGCCAACCAGCUGUUGCCAUCCCAGUAAAUCAAAACCAAUCGGCGAGCAAACAAUUGGGAAAUGGGAAACCCAUCCUAGAACCAUUGUCCUUCCAUCGGCGACAUAUGUGCAGCUUCACAGUUGACUUGGGUGCAAUUAGCAGGAGUUGCACCCUCGCUUUUCACAGUUUCUAGUUGUCAGCCAUGCAAAUGAGUUGAGUGCAUGUUGAUUAC